rnacentral:misc_RNA from 1 species
AAGUCGUAACAAGGUAUCCGUAGGUGAACCUGCGGAUGGAUCAUUACCAAUUUAUAUAUAUGUUAGUUUGUAUACCGCUGUCAAAGGGGGUUAUACACAACUACUAUGUAAACGUUGAACUAGAUCAAUUGGUGUGGAUUGCUUGGGAAUGGACGAAGCGAUGAGCCUCUUCCGGACAGGCAAGCCCCACACUGAUAACCUUUUUCAUAUCAUUUACUCGUAUAUACUACCACAACAACAAAAACAAAAGCUAUAAUAGGACUUAUUAACGGCUGAGUGGGUAACAUCCUCGGCUUAAACAUAUAACUAUUACAACUUUCAGCAAUGGAUCUCUAGGCUCUC